ACAGAAAAUGGCUAGUUAAAAACUUGUCAAGGCCAGUUGCAGGCAUGAUACCAGCAGUCUGGGAGGUAGAGACAAGAGGACACAUCUCUGCUGCUCCCUUCUUUCCCCAUGGUUAUGCGCCAACUUUGGUUUCACCAGGCCUACAGUGCUUCCCAGGUUUGGAGUGUGGGGAAGGAGAAGAUUUAAUGGAAGCAGCUUAAGGGAAAUGCUCAAACUAAACUGAUACUUUCUUCAUGAUCUAGCAUUGAAACUUUCUGGACUUGACAGAUAUUUAAAAUUAACUCUUUUUCUCAUUAACAUUUUCAUGGGUUCUUCCAAGAUCCACAUUACCCAACCUGUGGGUUCCCAUGACAAGGAUUAAGGCAUCUCUG
rnacentral:lncRNA from 1 species